GAUGAACGCUGGCGGCGUGCUUAACACAUGCAAGUCGAACGGAAAGGCCCUGCUUUUGUGGGGUGCUCGAGUGGCGAACGGGUGAGUAUCACGAGAGUAACCUGCCCCUGACUUUGGGAUAACUCCACGAAACUGGGGCCAAUACCGGCUAGGAGCUCCUGCUGCAUGGUGGGCGUUGGAAAGUUUCGGCGGUUGGGGAUGGAUUCGCGGCUUACCAGCUUGUUGGUGGGGUAGUGGCUUACCAAGGCUUUGACGGGUAGCCGGCCUGAGAGGGUGACCGGCCACAUUGGGACUGAGAUACGGCCCAGACUCCUGCGGGAGGCAGCAGUGGGGAAGAGUGCGCAGUGGGCGGCAGCCGGAUGCAGCAACGCCGCGUGCGGGAUGACGGCCUUCGGGUUGUAAACCGCUUUCGCCUGUGACGAAGCGUGAGUGACGGUAAUGGGUAAAGAAGCACCGGCUAACUACGUG
rnacentral:rRNA from 1 species